UGAGUCUGGCUCAAGACGAACGCUGGCGGCGUGCCUAAUACAUGCAAGUAGAACGCUGAAGAGAGGAGCUUGCUCUUCUUGGAUGAGUUGCGAACGGGUGAGUAACGCGUAUGUAACCUGCCUGGUAGCGGGGGAUAACUAUUGGAAACGAUAGCUAAUACCGCAUAAAAUUGAUUAUUGCAUGAUAAUUAAUUGAAAGAUGCAAUUGCAUCACUACCAGAUGGACCUGCGUUGUAUUAGCUAGUUGGUGAGGUAACGGCUCACCAAGGCGACGAUACAUAGCCGACCUGAGAGGGUGAUCGGCCACACUGGGACUGAGACACGGCCCAGACUCCUACGGGAGGCAGCAGUAGGGAAUCUUCGGCAAUGGGGGGAACCCUGACCGAGCAACGCCGCGUGAGUGAAGAAGGUUUUCGGAUCGUAAAGCUCUGUUGUAAGAGAAGAACGGGUGUGAGAGUGGAAAGUUCACACUGUGACGGUAUCUUACCAGAAAGGGACGGCUAACUACGUGCCAGCAGCCGCGGUAAUACGUAUGUCCCGAGCGUUGUCCGGAUUUAUUGGGCGUAAAGCGAGCGCAGGCGGUUAGAUAAGUCUGAAGUUAAAGGCUGUGGCUUAACCAUAGUAUGCUUUGGAAACUGUUUAACUUGAGUGCAGAAGGGGAGAGUGGAAUUCCAUGUGUAGCGGUGAAAUGCGUAGAUAUAUGGAGGAACACCGGUGGCGAAAGCGGCUCUCUGGUCUGUAACUGACGUUGAGGCUAGAAAGCGUGGGGAGCAAACAGGAUUAGAUACAGUGGUAGUCCACGCAGUAAACGAUGAGUGCUAGGUGUUAGGCCCUUUCCGGGGCUUAGUGCCGCAGCUAACGCAUUAAGCACUCCGCCUGGGGAGUACGACCGCAAGGUUGAAACUCAAAGGAAUUGACGGGGGCCCGCACAAGCGGUGGAGCAUGUGGUUUAAUUGGAAGCAACGCGAAGAACCUUACCAGGUCUUGACAUCCCUCUGACCGCUAUAGAGAUAGAGUUUUCCUUCGGGACAGAGGUGACAGGUGGUGCAUGGUUGUCGUCAGCUCGUGUCGUGAGAUGUUGGGUUAAGUCCCGCAACGAGCGCAACCCCUAUUGUUAGUUGCCAUCAUUCAGUUGGGCACUCUAGCGAGACUGCCGGUAAUAAACCGGAGGAAGGUGGGGAUGACGUCAAAUCAUCAUGCCCCUUAUGACCUGGGCUACACACGUGAUACAAUGGCUGGUACAACGAGUCGCAAGCCGGAGACGGCAAGCUAAUCUGUGAAAGCCAGUAUCAGUUAGGAUUGUAGGCUGCAAACUCGCCUACAUGAAGUGGGAAUGGCUAGUAAUCGCGGUUCAGCUCGCCGCGGUGAAAUACGUUCCCGGGCCGUGCCCACGCCGCCCGUCAA
rnacentral:rRNA from 1 species